rnacentral:rRNA from 1 species
AGUGAACGCUGGCGGCAGGCCUAACACAUGCAAGUCGAGCGGCAGCGGGUCCUUCGGGAUGCCGGCGAGCGGCGGACGGGUGAGGAAUGCAUCGGAAUCUGCCCUGUCGUGGGGGAUAACCUAGGGAAACUUAGGCUAAUACCGCAUACGACCCACGGGUGAAAGCGGGGGAUCGCAAGACCUCGCGCGAUAGGAUGAGCCGAUGUCCGAUUAGCUAGUUGGCGGGGUAAAGGCCCACCAAGGCGACGAUCGGUAGCUGGUCUGAGAGGAUGAUCAGCCACACUGGGACUGAGACACGGCCCAGACUCCUACGGGAGGCAGCAGUGGGGAAUAUUGGACAAUGGGCGCAAGCCUGAUCCAGCCAUGCCGCGUGGGUGAAGAAGGCCUUCGGGUUGUAAAGCCCUUUUGUCCGGGAAGAAAUCGUCUGGACUAAUACCCCGGGCGGAUGACGGUACCGGAAGAAUAAGCACCGGCUAACUUCGUG